GCCCCCCGCCCGCAGGACGGGCAGCCGCGCCGCGCCCCAGCCGCUGCCCUCGCCCCUAACAGCGGCGCGGCACGGCGCGGCUCCCUCCGGCACCCCAAGCCCGGCGGCUCGGCAAACUUCAAGCAGCCGAAGGGACGGGCCAGGGCCCGCCGCCGCCGCCGCCGCCGCCGCCACCCCCGCCCACCGCCCCGCCCUCACCUGCGCCGCCGCCCCCGGGUCCCGGUCGACGUCCCCGUCCGAGAACCUGCCGAGGAAACACGGCGGUAUAAAACAGCGAGGAAAGAACUGCGGCCUCAGUGUUGUCUGAGUCGGCAGCGGCUGAGACUUGAGAUGGCCACAAGCAGCUGUAACUGCGGGGCGGGGGGGAAGCUGCUGAAACUCCAUAUGUGAGCCCUCCUGUUACGAUUACUCCAGCCUUCCCCGUGCCAAGGGGAAGAUACUUCAUUAUAUGCUUACUACACAAGAGCCUGCUGUUGGAGACACGUUACUGCCUGCUGGAGAUGUUCUCCACUUCUCCAGCUGGUGCAAACCAAGCUGACAAAUGGUUUUUCCUUUGUAAUAGUUGUAUCUAUGGCAAGAAGUUGGCAAAGUUGUAACCAUAUGGUGUGUUGUUGGUUUUUUUUUUCCAUCUUUCCAGUAAAUCAGCAAAAUUACUUCCCCACAUUUAAAAACACUAACGUCAGUCAAGCGUUAUCACUUCAGGUUUCCUAGUAUUAUGAAAUACUUGUACUACAGGAAAAAGUCCCCACUUUAGUCUGACUAAAAAAACUUAGCCUCCCUCUCGAGUGCUUCUGUCAAUCUGAAAUAACCCUCAGGAGGAGGACUAUCCGAUACGCUUCUACAAGGCUUACCCACAUUCCUAGUGCUAUUGCCAGCACUCCCCAGCUGUAGGGAGCGCUGCCAGAUGAAACAACCACCGGGCAGCGGCCGCUUCGGUUUGCGUAUAGCCAGCCUUCCUGGAAAUGGGGCAAGAAGCAUUGGAUUUGCAUGUGGAAGCCUGAUGGCACAGGAGUCGGGGAAGAAACACUGAAUUAAUCAAGGAGUUUUCAGCUGUUAAGAAACAGGGCAGCUGUGGCCGAGAACUGAUCAUUAGAUACAGUUUGUAGAGUUACUUUUGUUCCAUUAGACCAAACUAUCUCUGCCACAGUUCUGCUCCCAUUAGUUUUCUAGUAACCAUAUGCUUAUCUUUAAAUUUAGCAUUGUGAACCAAUCAAUUAAACUCCUGCAUGAAUUCACUCAUAGGAAGUCAUAUUGCCUUUAAUUUUCCAUUCCACUAAUCUUACCAGGCAUCAUAUUUAUUUUUAAUCCACCUUCUGCUGAAACAUUGCCAACAGCUGCGUUAUACAAGCUACCAAGACCUUUGCUAUCACGGGCGCCCCAGAAUUACAUUGAAAGUUUUGGGUUGUUUGUUGGAAAAGGAUUAGUUUAGAUUCCGUCCUCAGCUCAACUUGGGUGUGAGCUACAAAAACAUACAGGACUGCUAUGUCAAAGGACACCCACAGCACGUUACAUGCAUUCGAGGCUGUUCCGAAGCGAUUCGUGAAUUGCUCUUGGCCCACCACAGACCCACACUGAUUAAUGGCAUUGUCCUAUUCCUCAGUGCAUUUUGGUUAUUUAUUAUUAUCGUCAAGACAUUAUAAUAAUAUAAAAACAUUUCAGAGUAAAUUUUUUUCCACUUGAUUUAUUUUCAUAAUAAACCAAUUAAAAAUACAAAAGACAAGGACCCAAGGUUCAGAGGGCUCCAUCAUUUAAAAAUUUGUCUUUAAAUACAAAUUCACUCUGUAAUAUGAAUACAUAUAACAUUAGAGCUCUAAACAUAAUGAUCUUGUCUGCAUCUAUCAAAAAUUUGUAUGGAAACAAAUUAGCUGAAAAAACCUUCUGACAUUGAAUGUACAUUAUUUACAAUCAAAAAAAGAACUCUUAGUAGUACUAAUCUGCACAUACCUGCAUAUAUUGUAUAUAUUUCAUUUCCCUCCCCC